UAAUCUCACUACAACUACUUUAUUGUUGUUUGUAUGUGGACCUGGAUGGUGCCGUAUAACAAACGGCUCGUCUGAAAUGCCUGAGUGUACCCUGCUUUGCAGCGUAUUCGGUGUGAUAAAUCUUCACCGGAGUUGACUCUCGAGUCGCGUCUGCUUUAACAUGGCUCUAUGCUUCCAACCGUCCUAACAAGACAAACUUUGACA
rnacentral:misc_RNA from 2 species